UAGGGAAUUUUACGCAAUGGGCGAAAGCCUGACGUAGCGACACCGCGUGAACGAAGAAGCCUUUUGGGGUGUAAAGUUCUGUCGGCUGGGAAGAAAAAAAUGACGGUACCAGCAAAGGAAGCAUCGGCUAACUACGUGCCAGCAGCCGCGGUAAGACGUAGGAUGCAAGCAUUGUCCGGAUUUAUUGGGCGUAAAGAGUUCGUAGGCGGUUUGUUAAGUCUAAUGUUAAAGAUCAGGGCUCAACCCUGGGACUGCAUUGGAUACUGGCAGACUGGAGUGUGGUAGAGGUAAGUGGAAUUUCUGGUGUAGCGGUGAAAUGCGUAGAUAUCAGAAAGAACACCAGUGGCGUAGGCGACUUACUGGGCCAUAACUGACGCUGAGGAACGAAAGCCAGGGGAGCAAAUGGG
rnacentral:rRNA from 1 species